AGAUCGAACGCUGGCGGCAGGCCUAACACAUGCAAGUCGAGCGGCAGCACGGGUACUUGUACCUGGUGGCGAGCGGCGGACGGGUGAGUAAUGCCUAGGAAUCUGCCUGGUAGUGGGGGAUAACGCUCGGAAACGGACGCUAAUACCGCAUACGUCCUACGGGAGAAAGCAGGGGACCUUCGGGCCUUGCGCUAUCAGAUGAGCCUAGGUCGGAUUAGCUAGUUGGUGGGGUAAUGGCUCACCAAGGCGACGAUCCGUAACUGGUCUGAGAGGAUGAUCAGUCACACUGGAACUGAGACACGGUCCAGACUCCUACGGGAGGCAGCAGUGGGGAAUAUUGGACAAUGGGCGAAAGCCUGAUCCAGCCAUGCCGCGUGUGUGAAGAAGGUCUUCGGAUUGUAAAGCAACUUUAAGUUGGAGGAAGGCAGUUACCUAAUACGUAUCUGUUUGACGUUUACGACAGAAUAAGCACCGGCUAACUCUGUACCAGCAGCCG
rnacentral:rRNA from 1 species